UAUUUUUCUCUUUUUUUGUGAUAAUUUUUGUUUGAGAGUCUUCUCUAAUCAAAUACUUAAAUACCCAUUUGAGGCUAAUUCAAUUUCAAGCUGCUAGGCUUCAGAACUUGACCAUUUCACAUGUUUCCAAGUCUGUGGCCUUUUCUUAUUUGACAAAAAAAACCUUUCUUUUUGCUUCCAUUUCUCUCUUUACCGUCCUCUCUUGAUCUAUCACAAGAGACCAUAACCAAAAAACCUAGAUAUGUACAAAACACAUACCAAGAGAGAGGUUUCCUUAGAAUUCCAGUCUCA
rnacentral:misc_RNA from 1 species